GAUGAACGCUGGCGGCGUGCCUAAUACAUGCAAGUCGAGCGAACAGAUAAGGAGCUUGCUCCUUUGACGUUAGCGGCGGACGGGUGAGUAACACGUGGGUAACCUACCUAUAAGACUGGGAUAACUUCGGGAAACCGGAGCUAAUGCCGGAUAACAUUUGGAACCGCAUGGUUCUAAAGUGAAAGAUGGUUUUGCUAUCACUUAUAGAUGGACCCGCGCCGUAUUAGCUAGUUGGUAAGGUAACGGCUUACCAAGGCAACGAUACGUAGCCGACCUGAGAGGGUGAUCGGCCACACUGGAACUGAGACACGGUCCAGACUCCUACGGGAGGCAGCAGUAGGGAAUCUUCCGCAAUGGGCGAAAGCCUGACGGAGCAACGCCGCGUGAGUGAUGAAGGGUUUCGGCGCGUAAAACUCUGUUAUUAGGGAAGAACAAACGUGUAAGUAACUGUGCACGUCUUGACGGUACCUAAUCAGAAAGCCACGGCUAACUACGUG
rnacentral:rRNA from 1 species